AGUCAAGUCUGCAAAAUGUGGUUGCUUUAUCAACAACUGAAGCUAAUAUAUGUCCUUGACUUCAGCAGUGAAAGAAGCAAAGUGGCUACUUGGACUCAUAGUCUCAGCUAGAGCAUGCGCGCUAUUCAGCCCUCGGGUUCUUUAGUGGAUGUUCUGCAAUGGCCGCGGGUCUGAAGAAAUUUGGCAAACCCUGAUGGUUCUUUUGUGUAUCUUAUGUUUUUACAACAAUGCAGAAACAAGGUUUAGUUCAUGUGAUGGAAGAUGGAGUAUUAAAUUUGAUUUUGAAAACUAUCUGAUGCACAUUUAUCAGAACAUCCUGUUGGAACACAAAAUUUAUUGCUAAUACAUUACAUUUCUGUAAUCUCUGGGCAUAUAUAGUACGAUUAAAUUCAGUGUACCAAAA